GAAAGAAUAGUUCAUUCUAUUUAUAUUGUAAUUCCAAUGCUAAACCAAACAGUUCUGUUAAGAGAGACAGAGCUUCGUGAAUACCUUUUUUAGUAGUUCGAGUCACCUGCUAUAUAAUUUCCAGAGUUAAUGAUAAUGUCUACUUAUCCUUGGCACCAGCUGCAAAUUUUCAUUUGUGCUAAUGACUAAACAUAUGAAGUCAGUCUAAUGCAGAAAUUGGAACUGAGAGGCAUUUGAAUGGUGAAGAAACAAAACCAGGAAAUCCAUGCGACCUGCAGACUUUCUCCAUACACCUUUCUCCUCCUGGCUGUCUGGGAUGGAGAUGACUCCAAGGCAAUCUUGGAAUCCACAGGUUAAAGAUGGCAAACUUUUGAUCAGCCUGAUGCCUGGGACAACUGCCUACAGAAGCUCCCUCAGACACAGCAGUAUUGCUAAAAGAGCAACAUUAAAAGUAUUUUUGU